rnacentral:rRNA from 1 species
UACAGAGGAGCCAAGCGUUGUCCGGAUUUAUUGGGCGUAAAGAGCUCGUAGGCGGCUUGUCGCGUCGACUGUGAAAACCCGCGGCUCAACCGCGGGCCUGCAGCCGAUACGGGCAGGCUAGAGUUCGGUAGGGGAGGACUGGAAUUCCUGGUGUAGCGGUGAAAUGCGCAGAUAUCAGGAGGAACACCGAUAGCGAAGGCAGCUCGCUGGGACGGUACUGACGCUGAGACGCGAAAGCGUGGGAGCAAACAGG